rnacentral:rRNA from 1 species
GACGAACGCUGGCGGCGUGCUUAACACAUGCAAGUCGAACGGAAAGGCCCCUUCGGGGGUACUCGAGUGGCGAACGGGUGAGUAACACGUGAGUAACCUGCCCUUGACUUCGGGAUAACUUCAGGAAACUGGGGCUAAUACCGGAUAGGAAUCCUUGCUGCAUGGUGGGGGUUGGAAAGCUUCGGCGGUUUUGGAUGGACUCGCGGCGUAUCAGCUUGGUGGUGGGGUAGUGGCUUACCAAGGCUUUGACGGGUAGCCGGCCUGAGAGGGCGACCGGCCACAUUGGGACUGGGAUACGGCCCGGACUCCUACGGGAGGCAGCAGUGGGGAAUAUUGCACAAUGGGCGGAAGCCUGAUGCAGCAACGCCGCGUGCGGGAGGACGGCCUUCGGGUUGUAAACCGCUUUCAGCAGGGGCGAAGCUUGUGGUGACGGUACCUGCAGAAGAAGCACCGGCUAACUACGUG